GGAAGUAAAAGUCGUAACAAGGUCUCCGUUGGUGAACCAGCGGAGGGAUCAUUGCUGGAACGCGCCCCGGCGCACCCAGAAACCCUUUGUGAACUUAUACCUUAUUGUUGCCUCGGCGAAGGCCGGCCUCUCUUCUGAGGCCCCCCGGAGACGGGGAGCAGCCCGCCGGCGGCCAACCAAACUCUUGUUUCUUAGUGAAUCUCUGAGUAAAAAAACAUAAAUGAAUCAAAACUUUCAACAACGGAUCUCUUGGUUCUGGCAUCGAUGAAGAACGCAGCGAAAUGCGAUAAGUAAUGUGAAUUGCAGAAUUCAGUGAAUCAUCGAAUCUUUGAACGCACAUUGCGCCCUCUGGUAUUCCGGAGGGCAUGCCUGUUCGAGCGUCAUUUCAACCCUCAAGCCUGGCUUGGUGUUGGGGCACUGCCUGUAAAAGGGCAGGCCCUGAAAUCUAGUGGCGAGCUCGCUAGGACCCCGAGCGUAGUAGUUAUAUCUCGUUCUGGAAGGCCCUGGCGGUGCCCUGCCGUUAAACCCCCAACUUCUGAAAUUUUGACCUCGGAUCAGGUAGGAAUACCCGCUGAACUUAAGCAUAUCAAUAAGCGGAGGAA
rnacentral:rRNA from 1 species